AAGUCGUAACAAGGUUUCCGUAGGUGAACCUGCGGAAGGAUCAUUAACACGUGUAUUCCACGUAUUAAUCUUUAAACUAACCAACUAUACUCCGUAUAGUAUACCACGAACAACUCCCCAGUUGAACCAAUCUCUUGCUGCCUCAGUAUGGCUGCGCUGGGCUGGGAGUCUUCGGACUCACUGUCACGUCAUACAGAAGCUUGUCACUCCGGUCUUCGGAUUAGAGAGUGUGGCUGGGCUUAAAAUUUCUGAGCAUGUUGUCACCAACCAGCUUCGUGGACAUGCAAGGAGAACCCCCCCGUAUUCACCAUAUUUUACCUAUUUGGCUAAUGUUUGGAUAACGAGUUGACUUGAGACUUGCCUCAUAUCAAUCAACGGAUCCUACUAAGAUUUAUCUUAACUAAGUACAACUCUUAGCAAUGGAUAUCUUGGUUCUC
rnacentral:misc_RNA from 1 species